rnacentral:lncRNA from 1 species
AGGUCUACAUCCUAUUGACUGGAGACACUAAUGCUAGUAUUUAACCCUAUAACAUUGGUCUUGAAGGUUUGUAUUACAAGAUAGAGAAAAUUAAAUCACUCUAAGAUCCAACUUUUUGUUUUGCAAACAGAAUGCUGGAAUCAUUCUGUGCCCUUCCCCGCCAUUGUGACUUGCCUUUACUCCCCAUCACCUCUUCCAUGGGACUUCAGAAAGAACCUGACUUCUUCUGAUUCUUCUGUUCUACCUCCAAACCACGGGACAACCCACACAUCUCCACUGCGGAAGCGGUUCCUCUCUGAUCCUGUUGCCAUUCUGUCAUUGGCACUCAACGGAAGCCCUAG